rnacentral:rRNA from 1 species
AUGGUAGGAUAGAGGCCUACCAUGGUGGUAACGGGUAACGGGGUGUUAGGGCACGACACCGGAGAGGGAGCCUGAGAAACGGCUACCACAUCCAAGGAAGGCAGCAGGCGCGCAAAUUACCCAAUCCCGACACGGGGAGGUAGUGACAAUAAAUAACAAUACAGGGUUCUUUGAAUCUUGUAAUUGGAAUGAGUACAAUUUAAACCUCUUAACGAGGAACAAUUGGAGGGCAAGUCUGGUGCCAGCAGCCGCGGUAAUUCCAGCUCCAAUAGCGUAUAUUAAAGUUGUUGCAGUUAAAAAGCUCGUAGUUGAAUUUCGGGAUCAAUACGUCGGUCGUGCUUUCGGGUACGUACUGGCGUCAUUGGUUUCUCCUUUCUGACGAACCAUGAUGUCAUUAAUUUGGUGUUAUGGGGAGUUAGGACUGUUACUUUGAAAAAAUUAGAGUGUUUAAAGCAGGCAUUAGCUUGAAUACAUUAGCAUGGAAUAAUGAAAUAGGACGUUCGAUCCUAUUUUGUUGGUUUCUAGGAUCAACGUAAUGAUUAAUAGGGAUAGUUGGGGGCAUUAGUAUUCAAUUGUCAGAGGUGAAAUUCUUGGAUUUAUUGAAGACUAACUACUGCGAAAGCAUUUGCCAAGGAUGUUUUCAUUAAUCAAGAACGAAAGUUAGGGGAUCGAAGACGAUCAGAUACCGUCGUAGUCUUAACCAUAAACUAUGCCGACUAGGGAUCGGAUGAUGUUAAUUUUUUAAUGACUCAUUCGGCGCCUUACGGGAAACCAAAGUGUUUGGG